rnacentral:rRNA from 1 species
UACGUAGGGCGCAAGCGUUGUCCGGAAUUAUUGGGCGUAAAGAGCUCGUAGGCGGUCUGUCGCGUCGGCUGUGAAAACCCGGAGCUCAACUCCGGGCCUGCAGUCGAUACGGGCAGACUAGAGUGCGGUAGGGGAGACUGGAAUUCCUGGUGUAGCGGUGAAAUGCGCAGAUAUCAGGAGGAACACCGGUGGCGAAGGCGGGUCUCUGGGCCGUAACUGACGCU